UUCGGGUCAGCACCAACGAAUAUUCUAGUUCCUCUUUAAUUGCUUCUUUGAAUUUCCUUGAUGCUAAGUACUGAGUUGUAGUUAAAAUUGUUCAUUCAGAAAUGGUAAUUUUAAUGCGAUAUUCAUGUCAGUUUUGAAAAAUCAUUUAUUGGAAUGAUGUGAUAGUGUGUAACGAGUGGACCAUUAGUCCAAACGCAAUGUUGAUUUAGCUAGUGUGAAAGAUACAGCGAGAAUAUGACACCAAUACAGGUGAUU
rnacentral:lncRNA from 1 species